rnacentral:rRNA from 1 species
UACGUAGGGCGCAAGCGUUAUCCGGAAUUAUUGGGCGUAAAGGGUGCGUAGGCGGCGCGGUAAGUCGGGUGUGAAAUCUCGGAGCUUAACUCCGAAACUGCAUUCGAUACUGCCGUGCUUGAGGACUGGAGAGGAGACUGGAAUUUACGGUGUAGCGGUGAAAUGCGUAGAUAUCGUAAGGAAGACCAGUGGCGAAGGCGGGUCUCUGGACAGUUCCUGACGCUGAGGCACGAAGGCCAGGGGAGCAAACGGG